rnacentral:ncRNA from 13 species
AGAUUAUCCAAAACUAUCUGGUAUUGGCUACUAUGUAAGCCAUGUUCAGACCGGAUCGUGUCAUGAUCAUGAUACUCAUCAGGAUGGUGCCAACCCGCCCGGCAUGCGCCCGUCACUCUGUACCCUGCACACAAU